UAUAUAAUCUUCUCUGCGAUCUCUUCUCUAUAAAUAUCCGUGUCUUCUCCAACUCAUAACCUCAUAAGAGGAAACAAAAAGAAUGGUUUGGGAGGUCGCUAUUAUUUGUGGUUUUGUAUUGUGCUUAGUUUCGUGCUUCUGUCUAAUGCUCGACCCCCUCUUUUCUUCUCUCAUCAUGAUAAAUCACAGAUGAAUGUGGUAGGAAGGUCCUUGAAAAUUAGCCUCGACGACUACGGAGAAACAAGGGCAAAUCCUGGACAUGAUCCUUCAAGAUUCACACCUACGACUGCUAAACGUCGAGGCAGAAAAGGUUUAUGAGUCUAUAUAUUAAUUGGAUCUAGAUUUUGUCAAGUGAAAAAAUCUGUAUAACUGCUUUUGUUAAAUAUGAGAGAUAGAAACAAGAGAUUAGGAAGAGGAUGAAAUUAGAGAAUGUGAAUCUCAUGCAUAUUCUCACACUUAUCGUCGUCUCUGUGUGUGUGUGUUUAAAAAACAGCUAUUAAUUAUAUUCCAGAUUAUCAA